AUACUUACCUGGCAGGGGAGAUACCAUGAUCACGAAGGUGGUUCUCCCAGGGCGAGGCUCAUCCAUUGCACUCCGGCUGUGCUGACCCCUGCGAUUUCCCCAAAUGCGGGAAACUCGACUGCAUAAUUUCUGGUAGUGGGGGACUGCGUUCGCGCUUUCCCCUG
ensembl:snRNA U1 U1 spliceosomal RNA